UCCUACUUAUUCGGAGGGAUCAAUUCUAUCUUGACUCACACACCGACUCCGCAAGUACUUGACUGUGUCCAAAAAUCUUUCAUCACUGAAUUAAAAAUUCAGGUAGUCUGGCAUCAAAGCACAGUGAGUUGCUUGCAAGUCACUAUGGUGAUCUCAGAUCGGAGGGACACUUAUACCCAUAUCCUUCGUGAAUUACUCUUGACAGUAGAGUGCUCAGCAGUUGGUCAUGUUCAAUGAGAUAUACCGCUACGUCUCACUUGCAUGCCAUGCCACACUCUUUGGUUAAGAGGACAAUCAACCCACAUGGCAC
rnacentral:lncRNA from 1 species